rnacentral:rRNA from 1 species
CCGGAAGACCAAGGGUUCCUGUCCAACGUUAAUCGGGGCAGGGUGAGUCGACCCCUAAGGCGAGGCCGAAAGGCGUAGUCGAUGGGAAACGGGUUAAUAUUCCCGUACUUGGUGUUACUGCGAAGGGGGGACGGAGAAGGCUAUGUUGGCCGGGCGACGGUUGUCCCGGUUUAAGCGUGUAGGUGUGUGUUCCAGGUAAAUCCGGUUCACUUUAACACUGAGGCGUGACGACGAGGCACUACGGUGCUGAAGCAACAAAUGCCCUGCUUCCAGGAAAAGCCUCUAAGCAUCAGGUAACAUCAAAUCGUACCCCAAACCGACACAGGUGGUCAGGUAGAGAAUACCAAGGCGCUUGAGAGAACUCGGGUGAAGGAACUAGGCAAAAUGGUGCCGUAACUUCGGGAGAAGGCACGCUGACACGUAGGUGAAGUGAUUUACUCACGGAGCUGAAGUCAGUCGAAGAUACCAGCUGGCUGCAACUGUUUAUUAAAAACACAGCACUGUGCAAACACGAAAGUGGACGUAUACGGUGUGACGCCUGCCCGGUGCCGGAAGGUUAAUUGAUGGGGUCAGCGCAAGCGAAGCUCCUGAUCGAAGCCCCGGUAAACGGCGGCCGUAACUAUAACGGUCCUAAGGUAGCGAAAUUCCUUGUCGGGUAAGUUCCGACCUGCACGAAUGGCGUAAUGAUGGCCAGGCUGUCUCCACCCGAGACUCAGUGAAAUUGAACUCGCUGUGAAGAUGCAGUGUACCCGCGGCAAGACGGAAAGACCCCGUGAACCUUUACUAUAGCUUGACACUGAACAUUGAGCCUUGAUGUGUAGGAUAGGUGGGAGGCUUUGAAGYGUGGACGCCAGUCUGCRUGGAGCCGACCUUGAAAUACCACCCUUUAAUGUUUGAUGUUCUAACGUGGACCCGURAUCCGGGUUGCGGACAGUGUCUGGUGGGUAGUUUGACUGGGGCGGUCUCCUCCUAAAGAGUAACGGAGGAGCACGAAGGUUGGCUAAUCCUGGUCGGACAUCAGGAGGUUAGUGCAAUGGCAUAAGCCAGCUUGACUGCGAGCGUGACGGCGCGAGCAGGUGCGAAAGCAGGUCAUAGUGAUCCGGUGGUUCUGAAUGGAAGGGCCAUCGCUCAACGGAUAAAAGGUACUCCGGGGAUAACAGGCUGAUACCGCCCAAGAGUUCAUAUCGACGGCGGUGUUUGGCACCUCGAUGUCGGCUCAUCACAUCCUGGGGCUGAAGUAGGUCCCAAGGGUAUGGCUGUUCGCCAUUUAAAGUGGUACGCGAGCUGGGUUUAGAACGUCGUGAGACAGUUCGGUCCCUAUCUGCCGUGGGCGCUGGAGAACUGAGGGGGGCUGCUCCUAGUACGAGAGGACCGGAGUGGACGCAUCACUGGUGUUCGGGUUGUCAUGCCAAUGGCACUGCCCGGUAGCUAAAUGCGGAAGAGAUAAGUGCUGAAAGCAUCUAAGCACGAAACUUGCCCCGAGAUGAGUUCUCCCUGAGACUUAGAGUCUCCUGAAGGAACGUUGAAGACGACGACGUUGAUAGGCCGGGUGUGUAAGCGCAGCGAUGCGUUGAGCUAACCGGUACUAAUGAACCGUGAGGCUUAACCUUACAACGCCGAAG